UCCGUAGGCGGAUUGAUAAGUGAGAGGUGAAAUCCCACAGCUUAACUGUGGAACUGCCUUUGAAACUGUUAGUCUUGAGUUAUAUGGAAGUAGAUAGAAUGUGUAGUGUAGCGGUGAAAUGCAUAGAGAUUACACAGAAUACCGAUUGCGAAGGCAGUCUACUACGUAUAUACUGACGCUAAUGGACGAAAGCGUGGGGAGCGAACAGGAUUAGAUACCCUGGUAGUCC
rnacentral:rRNA from 1 species